GAUUUUUUUUUUAUUAAAAAAAGCUGAUGUGGAGUCUCCCACGCGCCUGAAAGUGUUUGUGCAUACUUGUUGUGCCAUGUGGCAACGCGGUGGUGAAUUAAAAUUCAGUUAGCCAAGAUUAGGGGUGUUUUUAAGUGUGACAAUAGUUCAGGGACUAAAAUUGCAAUUCGUGCUAAGUUUAGAGGUGUUUUAGUCAAUUCAAGCUAAUUUGUUUGCAUUUACAUCACGUGGAGUAAAUUAUGAUACAGACUUAGCCCGAUUCGUGGUAUCUAUAUAUAUAAAAAAAGACUGGAAAUAUAUAUGAGUCUAAGAAUGAAAUAGAGCAAAAGAAUUAUUCUAUUUGAGGUGAUAGAAGACUUACAAGUCUGCUCCGUGGAUGGUUUCAUCAUAAACAAUAUUAUAUGUUGAAUGGUCAUCACAGUUGGCCGGCGCAGAUGGACGAAUGAGUACUUUAACGGAACUCGAAGUCUUUGCUCUUGAUUUGGAGCUCUGACAUUCUCUGUCAACUUCAUCGUAGCUCUGUCAGAAGUCCUGCAGCCUCUUCUCGAGCUCUCAGAUUUCUCCCUGAAUAUAUGAAAGAUGCUUCAAUAUGGCACAUGCCUGGUGCAUACAUAACCAUCUAAAGCCUUAUAUACAACAACAUCUCACUUGAACUCAGCAUACUUUCACUGACAAGAUUGGUGAGAUUGAGAGGGCCACAAAGGAGGAGUUUGCGAGGUUGAAAAGGAGAUGCUCUUGUUUGCAGUAAACUUCAACAUCUGCCAUUGCUGCUAGGGCAUGCCACGUGUUGCAUAAUAUAUAGGAGAUGAGCAAUGAGGAAAUGCAUUCAGAGUCUUUUGAGCGCAUUGAUGAUGAGAUAGUUCCCCAGAUUCAAUUGAGAUACACCAACGCUAAACUCGCAAGAGAUGUCAUUGCUUAUAAUCUUCUGACAGGAGUAAGCUCUGAUGUGUUCUUAAUUCAUGUAUCUAUUUGAAGUUAUUCCAUGUUGCGUGUGUUUUCCUCACAGUUUCUACUCAUGGCAAUCUUAGUCAUAUGCAUAGUCUAAUCAUUCCCUUUGUCCAAAGUCCAAACUGACGAAAAUUGCUUUUACCACCAUAGCAUACACCAUAAUUACAGACAGACAUUGUAAAUCACAACCAACAACUGCUCAAUUUUUGCAGUACAA